UUCCGGUUGAUCCCGCCGGACCUGACUGCUAUCGGAUUGAUACUAAGCCAUGCGAGUCAUUGUAGCAAUACAAGGCAGACGGCUCAGUAACGCGUAGUCAACCUACCCUAUGGACGGGAAUAACCUCGGGAAACUGAGAAUAAUGCCCGAUAGAACAUUAUGCCUGGAAUGGUUUAUGUUCCAAAUGAUUUAUCGCCGUAGGAUGGGACUGCGGCCUAUCAGUUUGUUGGUGAGGUAAUGGCCCACCAAGACUAUUACAGGUACGGGCUCUGAGAGGAGUAGCCCGGAGAUGGGUACUGAGACACGGACCCAGGCCCAAUGGGGCGCAGCAGGCGAGAAAACUUUGCAAUGUGCGAAAGCACGACAAGGUUAAUCCGAGUGGUUUCUGCUAAAGGAACCUUUUGACAGUCCUAGAAACACUGUUGAAUAAGGGGUGGGCAAGUUCUGGUGUCAGCCGCCGCGGUAAAACCAGCACCUCAAGUGGUCAGGAUGAUUAUUGGGCCUAAAGCAUCCGUAGCCGGCUCUGUUAGUUUUCGGUUAAAUCUGUACGCUCAACGUACAGGCUGCCGGAAAUACUGCAGAGCUAGGGAGUGGGAGAGGUAGACGGUACUCGGUAGGAAGGGGUAAAAUCCUUUGAUCUAUUGAUGACCACCUGUGGCGAAGGCGGUCUACCAGAACACGUCCGACGGUGAGGGAUGAAAGCUGGGGGAGCAAACCGGAUUAGAUACCCGGGUAGUCCCAGCUGUAAACUAUGCAAACUCAGUGAUGCAUUGGCUUGUGGCCAAUGCAGUGCUGCAGGGAAGCCGUUAAGUUUGCCGCCUGGGAAGUACGUACGCAAGUAUGAAACUUAAAGGAAUUGGCGGGGCAGCAC
rnacentral:rRNA from 1 species